rnacentral:rRNA from 1 species
UACGUAGGGGGCAAGCGUUGUCCGGAAUCAUUGGGCGUAAAGCGCGUGUAGGCGGCUCGAUAAGUCUGCUGUGAAAGUUCAGGGCUCAACCCUGAAAUGCCGGUGGAAACUGUCGGGCUAGAGUCCGGAAGAGGCGAGUGGAAUUCCUGGUGUAGCGGUGAAAUGCGCAGAUAUCAGGAGGAACACCAAUGGCGAAGGCAGCUCGCUGGGACGGUAUUGACGCUGAGACGCGAAAGCGUGGGGAGCAAACAGG